rnacentral:rRNA from 1 species
GACAGAGGAUGCAAGCGUUAUCCGGAAUGAUUGGGCGUAAAGCGUCUGUAGGUGGCUUUUCAAGUCCGCCGUCAAAUCCCAGGGCUCAACCCUGGACAGGCGGUGGAAACUGCCAAGCUGGAGUACGGUAGGGGCAGAGGGAAUUUCCGGUGGAGCGGUGAAAUGCGCAGAUAUCAGGAGGAACACCAAUGGCGAAGGCAGCACUCUGGGACGUGACUGACGCUGAGACGCGAAAGCGUGGGGAGCAAACAGG